rnacentral:rRNA from 1 species
UCGCCCAGGGAUGAGCCCGCGUCGGAUUAGCUUGUUGGUGAGGUAAAAGCUCACCAAGGCGACGAUCCGUAGCUGGUCUGAGAGGAUGAUCAGCCACACUGGGACUGAGACACGGCCCAG